rnacentral:rRNA from 1 species
AACGAACGCUGGCGGCAUGCCUAACACAUGCAAGUCGAACGGGAUCCGGACUUCGGUCCGGUGAGAGUGGCGGACGGGUGAGUAACACGUGGGAACCUGCCUUUUGGUUCGGGAUAACCGCGGGAAACUGCGGCUAAUACCGGAUGCUCCCGAGAGGGAAAGAUUUAUCGCCAGAAGAGGGGCCCGCGUCCGAUUAGGUAGUUGGUGGGGUAAUGGCCUACCAAGCCGACGAUCGGUAGCUGGUCUGAGAGGAUGAUCAGCCACACUGGGACUGAGAUACGGCCCAGACUCCUACGGGAGGCAGCAGUGGGGAAUAUUGGACAAUGGGGGGCAACCCUGAUCCAGCAAUGCCGCGUGAGUGAUGAAGGCCUUAGGGUUGUAAAGCUCUUUUGCCAGGGAAGAUGAUGACUGUACCUGGAGAAUAAGCCCCGGCUAACUUCGUGCCAGCAGCCGCGGUAAU